rnacentral:lncRNA from 1 species
UGGACAUUCACUGCUGUCUGGAACAGGACAAGGAGCCAUCCUGCCUUAUUUCAUCAGCUUGGCACAGCUACCACUGGUGCAAGAUCACAAAUGAUGAAACACCAUCCCUCAUUCCGAAGAGCAAAGAAACAAUAAUAUGACAAUCCACAGUUAAGGCUGGUGGUGGUGACAUAUGUGCCUUCACAGACACAAGAAUUAAUGAAGCGCUGAGAAAUUUCAGAGA